GAUGAAGAACGUAGCGAAAUGCGAUAAGUAAUGCGAAUUGCAGAAUCCGUGAAUCAUCGAAUCUUUGAACGCACAUUGCGCCCCUUGGUAUCCCGAGGGGCAUGCCUGUUCGAGCGUCAUUUCACCACUCAAGCCUGGCUUGGUGUUGGGCGACGUCCCCUUUGGGGACGCGCCUCGAAACGCUCGGCGGCGUGGCACCGGCUUUAAGCGUAGCAGAAUCUUUCGCUUUGGAAGUCGGGGCCCCGUCUGCCGGAAGACCUACUCGCAAGGUUGACCUCGGAUCAGGCAGGGAUACCCGCUGAACUUAAGCAUAUCAAUAAGCGGAGGA
rnacentral:misc_RNA from 1 species